CGGGGGCUGCGAUUAGAGGACUGCUC
rnacentral:piRNA from 1 species